AUUGAACGCUGGCGGCAGGCUUAACACAUGCAAGUCGAGCGGAGCGGCGGACGGGUGAGUAAUGCCUAGGAAUCUGCCGGGUAGUGGGGGAUAACGUCCGGAAACGGGCGCUAAUACCGCAUACUAUCAGAUGAGCCUAGGUCGGAGUAGCUAGUUGGUGGGGUAAAGGCCUACAAAGGCUACGAUCCGUAACUGGUCUGAGAGGAUGAUCAGUCACACUGGAACUGAGACACGGCCCAGACUCCUACGGGAGGCAGCAGUGGGGAAUAUUGCACAAUGGGCGCAAGCCUGAUGCAGCCAUGCCGCGUGUGUGAAGAAGGCCUUAGGGUUGUAAAGUACUUUCAGCGGGGAGGCGUUACCCGCAGAAGAAGCACCGGCUAACUCCGUGCCAGCAGCCGCGGUAAUUC
rnacentral:rRNA from 1 species